rnacentral:rRNA from 1 species
GAUGAACGCUGGCGGCGCGCCUAAUACAUGCAAGUCGAGCGAACAGACGAGGAGCUUGCUCCUCUGACGUUAGCGGCGGACGGGUGAGUAACACGUGGAUAACCUACCUAUAAGACUGGGAUAACUUCGGGAAACCGGAGCUAAUACCGGAUAAUAUAUUGAACCGCAUGGUUCAAUAGUGAAAGACGGUUUUGCUGUCACUUAUAGAUGGAUCCGCGCCGCAUUAGCUAGUUGGUAAGGUAACGGCUUACCAAGGCAACGAUGCGUAGCCGACCUGAGAGGGUGAUCGGCCACACUGGAACUGAGACACGGUCCAGACUCCUACGGGAGGCAGCAGUAGGGAAUCUUCCACAAUGGGCGAAAGCCUGACGGAGCAACGCCGCGUGAGUGAUGAAGGUCUUCGGAUCGUAAAACUCUGUUAUUAGGGAAGAACAAAUGUGUAAGUAACUAUGCACGUCUUGACGGUACCUAAUCAGAAAGCCACGGCUAACUACGUG